GGUUUAGUUUAGUGGUAAAACUUUGAAUUUCAAAUUCAAUAACAAGGGUUCAAUUCCUUUAACC
rnacentral:tRNA from 1 species